UACGGAGGGUGCGAGCGUUGUCCGGAAUCACUGGGCGUAAAGGGCGCGUAGGCGGCGCGGGUAGUCAUCGGUGAAAGUUCAGGGCUCAACUCUGAAUCGGCCGGUGAUACUCCCAUGCUCGAGCACUGUAGAGGCAGGUGGAAUUCCGGGUGUAGCGGUGGAAUGCGUAGAGAUCCGGAAGAACACCCGUGGCGAAGGCGGCUCUCUGGGACGGUACUGACGCUGAGACGCGAAAGCGUGGGGAGCGAACAGG
rnacentral:rRNA from 1 species